rnacentral:rRNA from 1 species
AUAAUGGGUCAGCGACUUAUAUUCUGUAGCAAGGUUAACCGAAUAGGGGAGCCGAAGGGAAACCGAGUCUUAACUGGGCGUUAAGUUGCAGGGUAUAGACCCGAAACCCGGUGAUCUAGCCAUGGGCAGGUUGAAGGUUGGGUAACACUAACUGGAGGACCGAACCGACUAAUGUUGAAAAAUUAGCGGAUGACUUGUGGCUGGGGGUGAAAGGCCAAUCAAACCGGGAGAUAGCUGGUUCUCCCCGAAAGCUAUUUAGGUAGCGCCUCGUGAAUUCAUCUCCGGGGGUAGAGCACUGUUUCGGCAAGGGGGUCAUCCCGACUUACCAACCCGAUGCAAACUGCGAAUACCGGAGAAUGUUAUCACGGGAGACACACGGCGGGUGCUAACGUCCGUCGUGAAGAGGGAAACAACCCAGACCGCCAGCUAAGGUCCCAAAGUCAUGGUUAAGUGGGAAACGAUGUGGGAAGGCCCAGACAGCCAGGAUGUUGGCUUAGAAGCAGCCAUCAUUUAAAGAAAGCGUAAUAGCUCACUGGUCGAGUCGGCCUGCGCGGAAGAUGUAACGGGGCUAAACCAUGCACCGAAGCUGCGGCAGCGACGCUGAUGCGUUGUUGGGUAGGGGAGCGUUCUGUAAGCCUGCGAAGG